rnacentral:lncRNA from 1 species
UUAACAUCCACAGUGAACACAAGCGUGUUGUUUUCUUCUAUCUUCUUCACGGCCGACUCAGUGGUCAGCGGAAACUUGAUGAUAGCAUAGUGGCCAAGCUUGUUUCUCCUGGGGGUGCUCUUCCGAGGAUAUCUGGGCUGCCUCCGGAGUCGCAGUGUCUUGGGCCGCCUGAAGGUGAAUAAGCAAAUGGAGUUGCAUAGAAAUCUCCUUUGCAAAAGAAUUCCAAAUAACUGAUGUAGACACUCAGCCAUCAAGAAGGUGGAGCCAACUCCUCACUCCGUAAGUGUGGGCUCUGCAUAGUGACUUGCUCCAAAAGAACACAUGCAGUACGGACAAGGAGGAAAAAUAACUUCACAGUGGAGAAAUCUGACAAACAGUAGCUCUGCCAAAUGAUCCAAGUGAAUAUCAAAGCUGACAGUUCACCUUGAGAACAUGAAGUGACAAUGGGGGGCAUUCUACAAAAUUCCUG